rnacentral:rRNA from 1 species
AUGGAACUACCAAAGUGCAAGAAAAGGAAGCGAAGUAGGCAGAGUAGCGGCGAGCUUCAUGGGGAACACCAAAAAACGAGCAAAGUCAUCAUGAAGCCGUCGACGUCCAAGAAAAAGAGGAAGGCAAGUGAAGGAAUGUGCACUAAUCCACCGGCACCAUUGUUUGGACCUUUGGCCAUUGAUAUGGAUAAGCAGGCACCACCAUUGGAGAAGAAAAGGCUUAAUAAGAGAGAUGUUGCAACUAUAGCAUCACUUGGAUCUGGGUCCAUUGACAAGGAUAAGCAGCCAUCACCUGGAUCUUUGCCUGUUGACAAGGAUAAGAAGCCAUCACUUGGAUCUUUGCCCCUUAACAGUAAUAAGCAACCAUCAUAUGGAUCUUUGCCCGUUGACAAGAAUAAGCAUCCAUCACUAUCCAAAAACGUGGUAAGGUCUCCAGUCCUAAACAAUGUCGUAGUUUCAUUCUUAGCAAGAAGAGAAAAAAAGGCUAAGUCACUAGAGAGAUCCCCUACGUCAUAG